ACCGGCGCACGGGUGCGUAACGCGUAUGCAAUCUACCUUUUGCUAAGGGAUAGCCCAGAGAAAUUUGGAUUAAUACCUUAUAGUGUGAUGACUUGGCAUCAAGACAUCAUUAAAGGUUACGGCAAAAGAUGAGCAUGCGUUCUAUUAGCUAGUUGGUGUGGUAACGGCAUACCAAGGCAACGAUAGAUAGGGGUCCUGAGAGGGAGAUCCCCCACACUGGUACUGAGACACGGACCAGACUCCUACGGGAGGCAGCAGUGAGGAAUAUUGGACAAUGGAGGCAACUCUGAUCCAGCCAUGCCGCGUGCAGGAAGACUGCCCUAUGGGUUGUAAACUGCUUUUAUACAGGAAGAAACACCUCUACGUGUAGAGAUUUGACGGUACUGUAAGAAUAAGGAUCGGCUAACUCCGUGCCAGCAGCCGCGGUAAUACGGAGGAUCCAAGCGUUAUCCGGAAUCAUUGGGUUUAAAGGGUCCGUAGGUGGAUAAUUAAGUCAGAGGUGAAAUCCUGCAGCUUAACUGUAGAAUUGCCUUUGAUACUGGUUGU
rnacentral:rRNA from 1 species